GCCUCCAUAGCUCAGGGGUUAGAGCGCCAGUUUAGUAAACUGGAGGUCUCGCGUUCGAUUCGCGAUGGAGGCA
rfam:Nosema bombycis CQ1 unplaced genomic scaffold NBO_411, whole genome shotgun sequence.